ACGGGCUUCGAUUAAGGGUAAAUCUCCUCUUUUCCACAGAGGCGCUGGGGGUUCAAAUCCCCCAGCCCGUA
rnacentral:tRNA from 1 species